UAAAAUGCGAUUUUAGUCUUCGUAUUUCUUCUGCAGCAUAAGUUCUUUGUUUUCCUCCGGGAUACUCCAUUAUCUCCAAAUGCAUCCCAAACUUGUAAAGACCUGAAAAAGACUAGAAAAGACUCAAGAAAUAAUAAAUAGAUUCUAAAACCUAAAUCUAAAACAUAAUUAACACCACUAAAAAUAGGGAUAUAUCGAAUGCUUUUGCAGGUCCUUGAGUGAAUGUAGAAAGCUUGUUGCGC
rnacentral:sRNA from 1 species